rnacentral:rRNA from 1 species
GAUGAACGCUGGCGGCGUGCUUAACACAUGCAAGUCGAACGGUGAAGGCGGAGCUUGCUCUGCUGGAUCAGUGGCGAACGGGUGAGUAACACGUGAGCAAUCUGCCCCUGACUCUGGGAUAAGCGCUGGAAACGGCGUCUAAUACUGGAUACGAGCUGCGAAGGCAUCUUCAGCAGCUGGAAAGAAUUUCGGUCAGGGAUGAGCUCGCGGCCUAUCAGCUUGUUGGUGAGGUAAUGGCUCACCAAGGCGUCGACGGGUAGCCGGCCUGAGAGGGUGACCGGCCACACUGGGACUGAGACACGGCCCAGACUCCUACGGGAGGCAGCAGUGGGGAAUAUUGCACAAUGGGCGAAAGCCUGAUGCAGCAACGCCGCGUGAGGGACGACGGCCUUCGGGUUGUAAACCUCUUUUAGCAGGGAAGAAGCGAAAGUGACGGUACCUGCAGAAAAAGCGCCGGCUAACUACCUG